rnacentral:rRNA from 1 species
AGAUAAGAUUUCCCUUGCCGAAAGGCAAUAAGGUCACUUGCAGACUACAAGUUUGAUAGGUCACAGGUGUAAGCGCAGUAAUGCGUUCAGCUGAGUGAUACUAAUAGACCGAGCGCUUGAACUUCUAA